rnacentral:rRNA from 1 species
UACGAAGGGGGCUAGCGUUGUUCGGAAUUACUGGGCGUAAAGCGCACGUAGGCGGACUGUCAAGUCAGGGGUGAAAUCCCGGGGCUCAACCUCGGAACUGCCUUUGAUACUGUCAGUCUAGAGUCCGGAAGAGGUGGGUGGAAGUCCUAGUGUAGAGGUGAAAUUCGCAGAUAUUAGGAAGAACACCGGUGGCGAAGGCGGCCCACUGGUCCGGUACUGACGCUGAGGUGCGAAAGCGUGGGGAGCAAACAGG